UCCGUGUUGGUGUAGGGGUUUAACAUUGCCGCCUCUCACGUGUUUAGUAAUCUCAUUAUGUAACGCUCGCGGCAGCCCGGGGUUCGAUUCCCCGACACGGAA